UUCCGCUUGGACGAGGUACAUGUACCUCGUCCAUCGGAAGGAAACCCUUCCGCUGGACGAGGUACAUGUACCUCGUCCAGCGGAA
rnacentral:miRNA from 1 species